UUUCUAGAGUUUUGGGCCUAAAACAACACAGUUUAUUGUGUCACUGUUUGUGUGAUUGUGUGUCAGUGUUACAGCGCCUCAUACAGUCCAGACACGUGUACUACAGUGUUCAGAGUCAUUUUUGUGAGGUUUUGUGAGGAUGGAGACGUUGACAUGUUUACGGAGAACUUUUUAAAGAAUGAAAGAAAAGAAAGGGGUUGUAUUGUAUUGUAGUGGUUUCCGUGUGAAUAUAAAGACCUAAAGCUCCUGUGAGGAUCUUCUAUCUUGACCUCUGAGCAUCUCACUUUACUAACGCUGCAUAAAUGUUCGUGGGCAGCAUGAAAACAAGACAGAGAAACACACAGAGAGUCGUAGAUGGAUGGAAAUCAUCCAUCACUGUCUGACCAAACUCAGGAACCACUGGUCUGUCUUCAGUUGUUUAACCAGUCCUCUCUCUCUCUGUUCUCUUCAUAGUCUUCUGGCUCGACCAAGGACGGCAAGACAGACAGGAAACUACACUGAAUAACCACCAGGGGGGUGACGGAGUCGUACCUGCGUCACUCAGCCAUUUCUCCAGCAGAGGCUUGAGCUUGCACAUGUUCUUGAAGCUGAGGUUGAGAGCCUCAAAGCGAGAGAUGGUCGUCUGGCUGAAGUCGUUCCCGUACAGUUUCCCCAUGGCAAGGCCCACGUCUCCCUGUGAUGAGUAACACGGACAGAUGUUUCUCCACAACUGUGACAGCGAACUGUUCCAGCUCCUCCAGGUCGCUGGGCUCCUCCUGUGACGGCACUGACAUGUGUUUGGGCAUCUGCAGGUGAGACAUGUCCAUGUGCGUCUCCAUGGACGGUCCUGCCAGACCUGAGCGGCUCAUGGCCUGGAUCAGAACAAACGGCUCUUAGAUAAACUGAGGUCACUUUACACACAGCACAGGAGAGGAAGUGGUUUCAUGGUUUUACCUGUGGAGUCAGAGCCAGGCCAGGCUGAUGCUGGAGAAGACCACUUGGACUGUGGCUGGGGAGAGAGAGAAGUGUGCACCUUGGUGUCCGGUGGGACUCUGUGAGAGCAGGAACGAGGAGGGAGCCGGCAGGUGAGACGGUGGCAUCAGAACCAGCUGCUGCAUCGUGUGGAGCGAGGUCAACUCCUGGAGAGAGAGACACACACAAAGAAUGAGUCGACCGAGCUUCAAAACCACAGCAGCGAUGACAGUGAGGCAGAAGAGUUCAGACGUCUGCUGGAUAAAGCUCACAUCAUUUGAAUGUCAAAUGGGACCAGUGUGUGUGUGUGUGUGUGUCU